rnacentral:lncRNA from 1 species
AGAGAAUGCUAAUGUUUGCUGCUCAUGAAAUAAUAUAGAUAUUUUGUUUUUCAUAGACAAUCAUCGUACAUCAACUAUUCCUCCUAAUGGUUAUAUCUGUAAUGAAGAUCUUGAGUCUGGUUUACAAACACCCUUCAGAAAACUCCCUCUUAUCAACUUGAACAAUGCGUUAUUUAUAACUAUGCUAACUGAAAUAAAGAACAAAUGGUUGUUUCGAUGGAUAUAUCAUUCAAACUUAGAAUUUUUGUCUUGGAUAAUACAGCUUUUACAAUUGUUUAUGAUAUUUACACGGACAAACAUCAUCGUCGACAAAACAUACCUUGAAUCAUCUUUGUCUGGCAGUCCUUGACGAUCCACGCUGACAAUCCUAUGAUGUCAUACGCAUUAAUAAUAGAAAAAGCUGUGAAUUAUAUCAUAAAAUUGAGAAUGUCACAGGGGAUUAUCUUAUGGUUAUAACAUCUAAACUGAUAACGCAUGCUUAGACAUUUUCCGCGUAAAUGUGUGAAACUGCGCUCUAGAUAAGAAAUGGAUCGGAUGUCAGUGAACUUCAACUGUUUCUUUCUUUUUUUUCAUAUAUGUUAUCCGUAAUUUAUUUGCAAUAUAUUGCUUUAUAUCUUGAGAAUGCAGUUUAAUUUGAAAAAAAUAACAAUGCCUUUUUUUUUGUUUUUUAAAAAUAAACUCACAAAC